AACGAACGCUGGCGGCAGGCUUAACACAUGCAAGUCGAACGCCCCGCCAGGGGAGUGGCCGACGGGUGAGUAACACGUGGGAACAUGCCCAAAGGUACGUAAUAUUCUCGGGAAACUGAGAGCAAUACCGUAUGUGCCCGAAAGGGGAAAGAUUUAUCGCCUUUGGAUUGGCCCGCGUCGGAUUAGCUAGUUGGUGGGGUAAAAGCCUACCAAGGCGACGAUCCGUAGCUGGUCUGAGAGGACGACCAGCCACACUGGGACUGAGACACGGCCCAGACUCCUACGGGAGGCAGCAGUGGGGAAUCUUGGACAAUGGGCGCAAGCCUGAUCCAGCCAUGCCGCGUGGAUGAUGAAGGCCCUAGGGUUGUAAAAUCCUUUCGUUGGGGACGAUAAUGACGGUACCCAAAGAAGAAGCGCCGGCUAACUUCGUG
rnacentral:rRNA from 1 species